rnacentral:tRNA from 1 species
GCGGGUAUAGCUUAAAUGGCAAAGCUCCAGCCUUCCAGGCUGGCCAUGCGGGUUCGAAUCCCAGCUGCCCGCU